UGAGGCCGAAAAUGGGCCUAUACCAUGUCGGCCGAAAAAGGGUCACAUCUGCCGAAAAUAGGGCAGAAUGACUUGUCAGGUCCUCUGAUCAUGACCGAAGACCCGACAUCGGGAGGGGGCCCGGUGGCUUGCCCUGUGUGCCGCCGGGUGCAAGGCCCCUCCCAUCUGCGCGGCCAGUACAGUCUGCAGCUCUGCCCAGUGUGAGCUGUAGACUGUGCUGUAUCUCACGAUCUCUG